rnacentral:ncRNA from 1 species
GAUUACAAUAACCCUCUCUGUAAUCGCGGCUG